GAUGAACGCUGGCGGCGUGCCUAAUACAUGCAAGUCGAGCGAACAGACGAGGAGCUUGCUUCUCUGACGUUAGCGGCGGACGGGUGAGUAACACGUGGAUAACCUACCUAUAAGACUGGGAUAACUUCGGGAAACCGGAGCUAAUACCGGAUAAUAUAUUGAACCGCAUGGUUCAAUAGUGAAAGACGGUUUUGCUGUCACUUAUAGAUGGAUCCGCGCCGCAUUAGCUAGUUGGUAAGGUAACGGCUUACCAAGGCAACGAUGCGUAGCCGACCUGAGAGGGGAUCGGCCACACUGGAACUGAGACACGGUCCAGACUCCUACGGGAGGCAGCAGUAGGGAAUCUUCCGCAAUGGGCGAAAGCCUGACGGAGCAACGCCGCGUGAGUGAUGAAGGUCUUCGGAUCGUAAAACUCUGUUAUUAGGGAAGAACAAAUGUGUAAGUAACUAUGCACGUCUUGACGGUACCUAAUCAGAAAGCCACGGCUAACUACGUG
rnacentral:rRNA from 1 species